GGAAUCUUGGACAAUGGGGGCAACCCUGAUCCAGCCAUGCCGCGUGAGCGAUGAAGGCCUUAGGGUUGUAAAGCUCUUUCAGCGGGGAAGAUAAUGACGGUACCCGCAGAAGAAGCCCCGGCUAACUCCGUGCCAGCAGCCGCGGUAAUACGGGGGGGGCAAGCGUUGUUCGGAAUUACUGGGCGUAAAGGGUUCGUAGGUGGCCAACUAAGUCGGACGUGAAAUCCCUCGGCUCAACCGGGGAACUGCGUCUGAUACUGGUUGGCUUGAGUGCAGGAGAGGAACGCGGAAUUCCAGGUGUAGCGGUGAAAUGCGUAGAUAUCUGGAGGAACACCGGUGGCGAAGGCGGCGUUCUGGACUGCAACUGACACUGAGGAACGAAAGCCAGGGGAGCAAAC
rnacentral:rRNA from 1 species